UUGUGUUUCACGUUCAAUUUUUUUUCAUCCAGGUCCAAUGGCACAAAUAUGACACCGAGUUAAUUACCUGGUGGAGAUGUAGCAAACACUCCUGACACAUUCAGAGGAAGGGACAACAUUAACUGCUGCUGACUCUGGGAUAAGGAAGAGGAAAAAGUGGACACAUGUUGGCUGUUUUUGUUGUUGUUUUUGGUUUUUUAUAAUUAUCCUCAAAAAAAUGAGGAUGACUAAAUGACUAAGGGAAUCCACUGACGGGGCUCAGCACAAAGGUCCAUCUUAGGAAGCAAGUGGAUAAACUUCCAGACUUGAAGGCCUCUGAGGCCCAACCAGGAUGCCAGAACGAGUGUAUGACUUCCAGGGCCAGAGUUUUCACAAGCUGCGGCGGGCCUGCCUCCGUCGAGGAGCGCUCUUCAAGGAUCCUCUAUUCCCCGCCACAGACCAGUCCCUCUUUUACAAGAGACAGCCUCCACCGGGUCUGACCUGGAAGAGGCCGAGGGAGAUUUGUAAGGACCCCCGUCUGUUUGUCGAUGGCAUCAGCACUCGUGAUUUGCACCAAGGAAGUCUGGGUAACUGCUGGAUGGUGGCAGCCAUUUCCUGCCUGGCGUCUGAGCCAUCACUGUGGAAAAAGGUCAUCCCCGAUCAUUUGAAUCAGGAGUGGAAUCCAAAGCGUCCCGACUUGUAUGCAGGAAUUUUCCAUUUCAGGUUCUGGCGUCUCGGUCGCUGGAUGGAUGUUGUUGUAGAUGAUCGCCUGCCUGUCAGCGAGGAUGGAGUGCUGCUCUUCUGUCGUUCGGCAACACCACGAGAGUUCUGGAGCGCCCUGCUGGAAAAGGCCUACGCCAAACUUAACGGCUGCUACGAGGCCUUGGAGGGAGGGAACACUGCAGAGGCCCUGAUCGACUUCACUGGUGGAGUUUCAGAGCCGCUCAGUCUGGAUCGUGAGGCUCUAAGACUUCACAGUGACCAGAGGAGGGCGCUCUUCCAGACUUUAACCAAGGUCCAUGAAUGUAAAUCACUCAUCACUUGCUCCAUACGGCCUGCAGAGGGAGAGACCGUGGAGUCAGUGCUGGAGUGUGGGCUCGUGCGAGGACACGCCUAUGGGAUCACGGCAGUGAGGAAGGUGAGGUUGGGGGAGAAGGUACUGAAGAGAGGCGGAACAUCCAGACUCUUUAUGGUCCGCAUGAGGAACCCGUGGGGGACCACAGAUUGGACCGGUGCCUGGAGUCAGAGGUCAGAGCAGUGGCAGCAACUGAGUCGUGCAGAGAGGGACAAGAUGGGGCUUGUUGUUCGUGAUGUCGGGGAGUUUUGGAUGGAUUUCGAGGACUUCUGUCAACACUUUACAGACGUGGUGGUGUGCAGACUGGUGGAGAGGACUCUGCUGUGGCCGAGAUCUCGCUGGAGAGAAGUGAGCUGCUACGGGGAGUGGGUUCUACCUCCCCCCACCCAUGGACCACCUCCACCCACUGUGCUCCAGAGUAACCCUACACUGACUCUGAGUAAGAGCAGCAACGGGCCUGGAGGGACUAAGCAGCGUGGGAACAGAAAGGAUGAUCGACUAGGUGAGAGUCAACAGGAAGGAAGGAAAAGAGGAAGAAGCAAGCCUGAUGUGAACAAAGUGACAGCAGAAAAGGGUGGUGGGAAGGUGAAUGGAGUCUGGAAGGUGGAGUUGGAUAAGAGGAGCCGGUGUGGUGGAUGUAUCAAUCACAGGGACACCUUCCUGCACAAUCCACAGUUCAUGUUUGAGGUGCGAGCCAAAGAGGAGGAGGUGCUGAUCUGUCUGCAGCAGGAGGACAGGAGGAUGUGGAGGAAAAAUGGAAAAGGAGAAAACCUGCCUAUUGGCUUUGAGGUGUUGAAGGUGGAGGUGAACCGCUGCAGUCGGGUGCAGUGCGUGGUGGAGCAGGCGGCCAGCUCCAUCUACAUGGAUUCCCGGAGUGUGACACUGAGGGGAACUCUGACUCUGGGACGUUAUGUUGUGCUGCCCACCACCUUCCUGCCGGGCGUCACUGGAUGCUUCCUGCUUCGCCUCUUCUCCCACUCUCGUAUCAGACUCAGUUGGACAUGGCUGAUGCCUGAACAUCCUUUACUGGCUUCUUUCAUGUAUGUGGAGGAGCAUCGGUUCUAUUCUCUGCCCCCCCAAAUGACCGAGCAACUUGCCCUAUUCCUAAGGGAAGACCCAGACACCCUUACUAUAGUACGCUAUAGUACAGGAGGGAGGAGGGAACGCCACAAAACGAAGGUGAGCAGACUUAGACUGACUCUUGUCUCGGGGGGAAGGCCUCAAAUGAUUUUUAUGUAACAAUAUAACAUUUUAAAAAUAUACAUAUAUCAUAUAUAUACAUAUACAAUACAUAAUUUUCAUAAAUAAAUGAAACUAAAAGCACUUGUAGUAAAAAGCUAGAAUCAGCAGUAUGAAAUACACACCGUAAUUCAAUAACAAAUCUGACUUAACGACUAUUUUUAUCUCCAGUGGUCAGACUGAGCGGUUCGGAUUACAGACCGCUGCAGACAGAGAACCAAAAGUUCACAGUUUGCAUUCCUUUCUUUUAAAAUCAUUUUAUCUGUUUUUUUAAAAGCAUAAACAUGUCAAAUUAAAAUCAAAGCAUUAAACAGCACUGCGCUCAUUUCUUUAUCAGUACAUAUAUGAGUGCAUGUAAUGAAAUAUCCGGUGACAUCACUGGGACCCGUAAGGGUGAAUCAUUUUUAAUAGCAUUUCUUCUCAUUAGACUCAAAUCUGUCUUGUAGCAUUACUACACAUUACAAUGCUUACAAAAACAAUGCACAUAUACGUGUAUUGCUGAUAUUCGCAGAGCUCCACUCCUCUGUUUAAAUGCAAACAAUAAACUUUUGAGAAGAACAAACGGCCCAUUCACCUUUUAUCUGCUCUCAUGUGACAGCAUUUGAUUAUCAGGACAGCUGCUAUGUGUGAGCAGCUGCUGUAAGAAGUGAAGGACCUCAAACUGCCACGACCAUUGCUUUGAGCAGAAAGAUGAUUUCACCCUAAUGACACCCUUAGUAAUUCAGCCUUAUUUGCAUUUUAUGUUACAAUCGUUCCUUCUUUCUCAAAUAUUUAACACCAGUUUAACAUAUUAGCCUGGAAAUUUAAAAAUAAAUAAAUAUUGAAAUAUAUCUCUGAAAACAGUCCAAAGGAAUGAAACAUUCAGAAACCUUUUUGGAGCCAUUUUUUAGGCCGGUGGUAUGAAAAGAACAACAGUUUAAAAUUGCAUUAAGUAAUUGUUUUUCAAACUGUUUUAUUUAAGUAUUGAAGUGUUUACACAGUGUGUUUCACAGUCAUUUUGAAGCUUAUCGUUAACAACUCUCAUUAUUAAACCGGAUGUGUGUCAGAGCCUGUCACCUCUCGCCUCUUUCACGAUCAGCUGACCGCGUGAGCGAGCGCUUUAGUUUGUGCGCGCGCUCCCUCGAGGCGGAGGCUUUGCAUCUGACUAGGUGAGGCUGUCAGAGACGCGAGCAGCUGGCAGGAGGUGAACUCGGAGUGAGCACAAGUUACAUCUUAUUGAGCGCUCAGAGAGCUUCAGUGUGGAACAUGGCUCCUCCGUGAAAUAGAAAUAUUUCAGACGUGCCAUCUCACAUAAAGCUCAGCUCUUUAUCUUCCUUUGCAGGUGAAGAAACUCAUUAGGAAAAAUGGCGAACAGUAACCUUCUGGGACGCAUCCGGAACCAUCCUCAACCCCCAGCACCCGCUCUAGCGAUUUCAAAAGUGAUUUUGUGCGGCAUGCCCAUUGCUCAGAUUGCAAUUGGGACAAUAUACCUUCAUGAGUGUCCGCGUGAGCACUUCAUCCCCAUCUAUCUGAUAGUGGUGGGAGUCUUUGGCCUGAUUCUGUCGUUGCUCUCCUGCUUGCCCUGCGCCAGGGAGCCCGAAGAAGGCACCUCCAACCCUCUGAGCACAAUCUGCACAACCUGGAACUCCUUGACAUCUGUCUUUCUCUUCUGCUGGUUUAUCGCUGGUAAUGUAUGGAUCUACUCUAUUUAUCAGCCCAACUACACCAAAAACGCAACAGAUGUGAGCACCUACUGCAACAAGACCCUUUACCUGUUUGCCUUCUGGACCACCACUCUGGUUUACAUCCUGAUCGGUUUGUUUUUCAUGUGCGGCUUCUUGGUCCUCCUCUGCUUCUGCCUGUGUGGCCGUGCCGAUCCCGACGACGACGUGUAACGACGUUCAGAAACGAUGACGGUACUGGACGCACACAAUGAAUAUGCUGCUGAUGCAGAUAUGUUUACGAAUAUGUUGUAAGUGUGUGAUUUGACAGCGCAUCUUGUGUUGAAAGAUGAGCAUUUUCUAAACCUCUGCAGCAGCUACUGUUUACAGGAAUUUUAUUCUGAAAUCAAGAAGAUCACUGGUGUUUAAGAAUUUAUGCGAGAGCUGAUUCCAACAGCAAAAUUAUUUUUACUUUCCUAUUUGUUUCCAUGUUUGUCCCAGGAAAACACGUCUAUAUUAUAAAUGUGAGGAAGGUUUUUCUCACAAGGAUCUCAGCUCGUCAUUAAACUCUUUUAGUGACGCUACAGAUAAAUAUCAGCCACUGACAUCGUUUACUGCCAUCCUAUUUGCUGAUAAACGCCCAGCAUCAGUCAUUGCCAGGGUUCAGCUGAUACAUCUGUGAAUCUGUAGAUGUGCUGUUACAUGAUGAGCCACAAAUUCGGAUUACUGAGUGUAAAUGAUGAAAUGG